UAGAAAAGCCACUCUGCACUUUUAGGGUCUGAGGAAACUGAGAACGUGCUUGUGAAUGCUUGCAGAUUUAUGGUGGUCAGCUGAGUUGCCCUGGCAUUGUCAGGACUCUACCUUGGCUAGGCAGAACUGCAGGGAUUCCUGAAAACAAUUUAGGGAAACUGAACCAAAGAAAUGUGAAGAGGAGGCUGGCAGAUGGAAACAAGAAAUGGAAAACCCACAGGAAAAGUAUCUAAGAUGUGUAGAAUAAUAUGGCACCAGACUGGAUCUGAAGAUGUGGGAAGAUGGAAAGGAAAUAUAUGUUAGGACAACCUGGAACAGAUAAGGAAUCAUACAUCGUCCUGUAUAGAGAAUAUGUCCAGAAUUAAAGACAGGAAGAAUGAGUCAGAAAUGUAGGCAUCGCCUUGGGAAUUUUGAACGUGGAUGUGCAAUGAUUUUUAUAAUUCCUUACAUUUGGAUUAGGACAUACAUAGAUAAUGGCUGUUCUCUAAAUUUUUAUCUGUAGUGAAAACCAGCAUGUGAAUAAAUUAAAACAGACAACAGUCCAAGAUUUAUCACUUUGUUAAGAUAAACUAAUAAAAUGGAGAGCUCAGAUAUGUGUAUUUAUAGAAAAAAAAAAAAAGAGUAUCCAGUAAGCAAUGGUGUGGGAUGUUGCAAGAUGGGGAUGAUCUCAGUUAUUACAAACAGGAGACUAGAGCUAAAUGAAGGGGAUUAUAAAAGCUAUAAUUAGCUAAUGCUUCCUAAAAGCCUUACCUAAACUGUUGAGGUUUUUCCAUUCCAAAGCACAAUACCAUACAGAGAUCACAUAUCAUGUAGUAAGUACAGAAAGAAAAACAAACCUUAUACAAAAAGUAUUGUCUUCAAUUAUUUCAGAGCAAUCUUUUAAACAUUUUGGAACAAAUACUUUUCCUUUAAUGAUGCUGUGAUUGCUGAAGGAUUGUUUACUUAUUAUAUUGGAAUAUAACAAACACAUUACAAUCAAAUGUCACCAAGUUAUGUUGGUUUUAUUUACAUGCUUAGAGAUGAUGCUUUAAUCUCUAAUUUGUGGUGUAAAUUCUGAAGAAAACAGAUGGGUUGGUGAAGAGAAUGGAAUCCCUUGUCUAGUAAAAGCAAGCUUACUAUUCUCAGGAGUGAUUUCAGUGCUGUUUUACUUAUUGUUUACAAAUAUUAACAUGUUAAUAUAAAAACUCUAGAAAGGAUGGCAAUGUCUGUUCUGCGUGAAUCUUAUUCCCUGUCUGUAGAGGGUUUUCAAAGUGUGCAAAUAUACAAACCCUGACUGAGAAUAAGUAAAGGGGCACAGGAGAUCUUUCUUUUCACAGAGAGCCAGCACGUCUUGCCCUUUAUUGUCAACACAAGGGCAACAGAGGGAAGCACCAGAGAAGAAGGAGGACUAUGAGCAGUGCCAAGGCUCUUCAGAAGUGUGGUUAAUGCUGUUUUACAAAGGACAGGCAGUUUGUACCGUCUGCUAGAGAUGUGAGAGAACAAAAAGUGCCUUGCUGAGACAUACAUAGACUAAACAGGGAAGCUCAGGCUUGAGUCUCCCAAGUUCCCCCCAGCACACUCAAAGAACAUCUGGUAAACUAAUUCAGUAACAAGACCAAGUUACAUUAAUUUUUAAAAUAAAUUCACUGUUUCUUUAAAUGCAUUUUUUUUUUUUUACUUUAAAAGCAGACAACUGCUAUUUAAAAUAAACCUCCAAUAUCUGUAGUAACCAAAAACGAUAUUUACUUGAACUGUGUCUAUAAAGUGUACAAGUAUGAGCACUCCAGCUAAAACAAAGGAUUUGGCUAUGAUCUUUAAAUUCUUCACAUGCUUAAAUUCUUGGUUAGGUUGGCCUUUUGUGCUGGAUGACUUAGCUGUCCAGCAGCAGUGCUUUUCUCUAAUUUUGGAAGCAGAGGAAGGUCUUACAACCAUUUUGCCCUAUACAGCACAAAUCUGUCACUGUGCAACAGUGCAUCAGUGGCCCAUUGAACUUCACUGUUCUCCCCCAUUGUACUAAAUAAACGAAAGCUUCUGUUAUGAUGCCAUAGAAGCAAAUGACUCACUGAAUAUUUGACUGUCUAGCUACAGAAAAUCUUAGUCUUUCUGAGUCAGUGCUAAGAGUUGUUUUCUGUUUGAAUGAUAGAUAAGUACAGCUUAAGGAUCCAUAAGGAGGUUUUCUCCACCGGGAAGAUGUCUUGCCUUCACAGAGGCACUGAAGCUAUAGUGGGGACUGUUGAAGCAAACACAUCAGUUUCAAAUGUAUUUUUUUCUGAACACCAGCAGAACUCUCAUAAUACCAAAUGGCUCAUAUUUAUCUUCACUCUUGCAGUUGGGUUCUGUAUAUAAGCACAACUGACUAUUAAAAUAUAAACCUUUUGUGGAAAAGCACAGCCUGAAUGUCUGUUUUCCCAUAUUACAGGAUGUUUAGUAGAAAGUGUUACAUGAUAUUAGUCUGUGUACUACCACCCAGAAAAGUUGUAAUAUUGUCAAAAGCAAAAGACUGCUGUCAAAGCUGAUAAAUCCAGUAGGGCUUAAUGAAGGUGUUGUCUGUCUAUAAUGAAACAAGGAGACUUAAGAUGCCUUUUUAAAAGUACUUUUGGGAUUAUAUCAUUGCCAGUCCACAUGAGAUUCUUAAGAUCGCAAAAUUUGUGUUAGGUAAGGAUUGCUCGACUUCAUGGACUAUACAUCCAGCUUCUGAAGUUAAAUUC